rnacentral:rRNA from 1 species
CCUACGGGAGGCAGCAGUGGGGAAUAUUGGACAAUGGGCGAAAGUCUGAUCCAGCCAUGCCGCGUGUGUGAAGAAGGCCUUCGGGUUGUAAAGCACUUUCAGUGGGGAAGAAAGCCUUGGGGCUAAUACCCUCGAGGAAGGACAUCACCCACAGAAGAAGCACCGGCUAACUCCGUGCCAGCAGCCGCGGUAAUACGGAGGGUGCGAGCGUUAAUCGGAAUUACUGGGCGUAAAGCGCGCGUAGGCGGUCUGAUAAGCCGGUUGUGAAAGCCCCGGGCUCAACCUGGGAACGGCAUCCGGAACUGUCAGGCUAGAGUGCAGGAGAGGAAGGUAGAAUUCCCGGUGUAGCGGUGAAAUGCGUAGAGAUCGGGAGGAAUACCAGUGGCGAAGGCGGCCUUCUGGACUGACACUGACGCUGAGGUGCGAAAGCGUGGGUAGCAAACAGGAUUAGAUACCCCGGUAGUC